rnacentral:ncRNA from 1 species
CACCGCCCGUCGCUACUACCGAUUGGAUGGUUUAGUGAGGUCCUCGGAUCGGCCCCGGCGGGGUCGGCCACGGCCCUGCCGGAGCGUCGAGAAGACGGUCGAACUUGACUAUCUAGAGGAAGUAAAGUCGUAACAAGGUUUCCGUAGGUGAACCCUGCGGAAG